AUCAAAACUAUGAAAUAACACACAUGGAUUCAUGUAGUAACCAAAAAAGUGUUAAACUAAUUAAAAUCUAUUUGAGAUUCUUCUAAGUAACCAUCAUUUGCCUUGAUGACAGCAGUGCACAGUCUUGGUAUUCCCUGCAGUGAUAUUCCAUCACCAGUAGUAAAUGUACCGUUAAUCCCUGUCAUGCGAUAACAUUGUUUUAUGGUAUUGCGUGUAUUAGAGCUGGGUGAUAUCCUGAUAACAAUACAUGUCACGAUAUAGCACAUCUUCUGUAAAUUCAAUUUAGAAAUAGUUUUUGUUGGGUCUCAUCCGUAGACUCUCUCCGUACUGUUUCACAUGAUUCUUGUGUAGGGGGUAAGAGGUUAGCGGUGUUUGAGCCUGUUGUCGGGACUGGCCUGUUUCACAUGAUUCUUGCGUAGGGGGUAAGAGGUUAGCGGUGUUUGAGCCUGUUGUCGGGACUGGCCUGUUUCACAUGAUUCUUUCAUAGGGGGUAAGAGGUUAGCGGUGUUUGAGCCUGUUGUCGGGACUGGCCUGUUUCACAUGAUUCUUGCGUAGGGGGUAAGAGGUUAGCGGUGUUUGAGCCUGUUGUCGGGACUGGCCUGUUUCACAUGAUUCUUGCGUAGGGGGUAAGAGGUUAGCGGUGUUUGAGCCUGUUGUCGGGACUGGCCUGUUUCACAUGAUUCUUGCGUAGGGGGUAAGAGGUUAGCGGUGUUUGAGCCUGUUGUCGGGACUGGCCUGUUUCACAUGAUUCUUGCGUAGGGGGUAAGAGGUUAGCGGUGUUUGAGCCUGUUGUCGGGACUGGCCUGUUUCACAUGAUUCUUGCGUAGGGGGUAAGAGGUUAGCGGUGUUUGAGCCUGUUGUCGGGACUGGCCUGUUUCACAUGAUUCUUUCAUAGGGGGUAAGAGGUUAGUGGUGUUUGAGCCUGUUGUCGGGACUGGCCUGUUUCACAUGAUUCUUUCAUAGGGGGUAAGAGGUUAGCGGUGUUUGAGCCUGUUGUCGGGACUGGCCUGUUUCACAUGAUUCUUUCGUAGGGGGUAAGAGGUUAGUGGUGUUUGAGCCUGUUGUCGGGACUGGCCUGUUUCACAUGAUUCUUUCAUAGGGGGUAAGAGGUUAGCGGUGUUUGAGCCUGUUGUCGGGACUGGCCUGUUUCACAUGAUUCUUUCAUAGGGGU